rnacentral:lncRNA from 1 species
AUGGAGUCAAAAGCAGAUCUGUUAAUCUUUCAUCAUCCUCAUCUGCGACUCACGAAAUCCUCUCACCAAUCUGAUUUUGAGGAGUUCUGCCGCUCGAAGAAAUCCUUUCACCGAUUUGAUUCUGGUGACACCGACCUUCAUUUCCUUUAAGUUCUAGUUUCAUUGUUAACGGUUCAGAUUCAUGAUACUGUGUCGAAUUGCUAGGGUUACGAAAGCUAGAGGUUGUGAUUUUGUUUUGUUUUGUUUGUGUUUGAUUAACUGAUUGACUCUGUUUUUCUUCGUGUUUAAUUGUGUUUUGGAAAGUGAAAUUAGGAUUACUGAUCUGAUUUUAAUUUUAGGUUUUACAGAAAUUAGAGCUCCUGAUCAUGUGUUUCUUCAUGCAUGUUCGUAUUCAGUUGUGUUUAGGAAAGAAAUUAGGAUUAGUCAACUAUUAGAUUCACCGAUCGAAUUACAAUAUGAGGUUUUAUAGAGUUCAUGACUAUGUUUUAUAUUUUAUAUGUUCGUAUUCAGUUGUUAUGAACAAUGCUGCAUCUUGAUAAUUCUGCGAUUUUAGAACCAAUUUAGUUUGGAAUCUUGUUGUUAUGAAUGAUGCUGCAUCUUGAUAUGAUGAAUUUUGUAUUGAUUAGGUUAAUUUUGUUUUUUAUUGCAAGUUUUUGGUGAGAUUAGGGUUUGAGAUCUACGAUUUAGGUUAUGAGAUAUGGAGAGGGUUUGAGAGAAAAUGAGCAUAGUAGUAAACAACUUUGUGAUCAGAUGGGUAAUCUUCUUACUAUGGUAUGUUUUUCAGUGAUUUUGUUAAUGGGAAUAGGACGUUUUGUUAUGCAUGAUUGCAUGCACUCUAGAUGUUUGUUGAAAUGGCAGUGCUGAAUUUUUUAGUUUGUUGGGGUUCUUUUGGUUCAAGUUCUUGAUUAUUGAAGCUUGAUUGUUUAUGAUAUUCUAACUGCCCUUUAACACACCUUGGUGUUCACUAGACAGUAGCCAAUUGUGGCAUAAUUUUCAAGAAUUAGCAGUUGAAGCAAGUUAUAAAGUUUAUGCUUAUAAAAUAGUUAUCAGCAUAGUUAUCAAAAGCGCGAAGCGCACUCUAGGCGCAUAGGCACCGAUUUGGGCCUAGGCGCCAAAAGCGCCUACAUCAUUUUGUUACGGCGAAAGAUUCUUUUGUCUAGGAAGAAAUUUAUUGAUGUCGCGUUUGAUAGCUACAAAAUGAUGUACCAUAGUUUUUAAUGUGUAGUUUGUAGCUGUGGGUGUGAUCGGUUUUGGCGUGUGGAUUAGCACUCAUCAUGAUGGUUGUAUAAAAUCG